rnacentral:rRNA from 1 species
AACGAACGCUGGCGGCAUGCCUAACACAUGCAAGUCGAACGAGACCUUCGGGUCUAGUGGCGCACGGGUGCGUAACGCGUGGGAACCUGCCCUUAGGUUCGGAAUAACUCCCCGAAAGGGGUGCUAAUACCGGAUAAUGGCUUCGGACCAAAGAUUUAUCGCCUUUGGAUGGGCCCGCGUUGGAUUAGCUAGUUGGUAGGGUAAAAGCCUACCAAGGCGACGAUCCAUAGCUGGUCUGAGAGGAUGAUCAGCCACACUGGGACUGAGACACGGCCCAGACUCCUACGGGAGGCAGCAGUGGGGAAUAUUGGACAAUGGGCGAAAGCCUGAUCCAGCAAUGCCGCGUGAGUGAUGAAGGCCUUAGGGUUGUAAAGCUCUUUUACCCGGGAUGAUAAUGACAGUACCGGGAGAAUAAGCCCCGGCUAACUCCGUG